rnacentral:rRNA from 1 species
CAAUAGCGUAUAUUAAAGUUGUUGCAGUUAAAAAGCUCGUAGUUGAAGAUACGAACGCUUACACUAGAACAAAGUUUCCGGUGUCUGCGUUCACUUUUCGCAAAGACAGCCUGGCCCAUUAGUUUGGGUCUUGUUUGAGUUGCGUCAUUUACUGUGAACAAAUUAGGGUGUUUAAAGCAGGCCUACGUUUGAAUACACUAGCAUGGAAUAAUAAGAUAUGAUCUUGGUCGUAUUUUGUUGGUGACUACCAAGAUAAUGAUCGAUAGAAACUGUUGUGGGUAUUCGUAUGAGCAUGUCAGAGGUGAAAUUCUUGGAUUUUGAUCAGACGAACUACUGCGAAAGUAUUUACCAAGGAUGUUUUCAUUAA